ensembl:lncRNA
GUCCCAAGAGCAGAAAAUAUCUGAUGAUGCAUAAAAUAGUAAAUGAAUCUUAGAUGUUUAAUUGAGUUAUUUUUCUUUAGAAAAAUAUAAAAAAAUAGAUCCUAGACAUUUUAGAGUUAAAUUUCUGAAAACUAAAAUGAAGCUUUUGAAUGACUCUACCCCUAUCCUUUCCUAGGGAAAGAUAGGAUAAUACAUCACAAUGUUCCAGAGAACAUUUCACAGGCAGCAUCUGUCCUAGUUUUGGUUCAGGAUUAACUUGGAGCAAUUCCUUCUUCAUGAAACUCUUCCUUUCUUCCCCCACUAGACAAAAAGUAGGAGGGACAUAUUGAAGCCCGGCUCCUUUAUUAGACCAAGAUACAAUCAGUCUGUCUCUUCAUUUUCCUUGGGAAUCAACAAGUAACUGAGUGUAGCACCUGGGUCAAGAAGUGGCAACAUCUGGCCAGGACACAAGGGAAGGGACCCCUCUCAAGGGGCCAGAAAGACAGGAUGAAGACUCCAAUCCUGAUUGCACUCAUUUUGGCCUUUACCAGUUGUUUUCCAUUAAGUGAGAGUCAGCAAAGCCAGAGAACACAGAAAACACCCAAUAAAUUUGUCCAAAAUAAUCCAAUUCGAACUUUGAGAAGUAGACCAUCAUCUGCUCAAUCCCCAUCCAGGAAAUCUCAGCCUCGUCCACAUGCAACUGCCUCAUCUGUAGCUGGAGUUCCUCGAAAGAUUACAUCUUCACGUUCUCAGGCUCCACAAGCCCAAUCAUCAUCUUCCCUGAAGGCAGUAAGAAGGUCUUCUGUUCCAGUUCAAGCUGCAUCAAGGGUAGCUCUAUCUAACCAGAUCGUUCCCAAGUCAUCUCCAGCAUGGAAACAGAUGUCUCCUUUGAAGGUAGGGCCCAAAUCAGUUAGGAUAUCCUCCAAACAGUCCACAGGUUCUCAAUUUACAUCAAGGCAGUCUUGGCCUGCAAAGAAACCCGCAGUAGCAUCAAGAACCUCCAAAGUCACCCGCAAGCCUUCUCAGCCCUCCAACAAAAUAGUGAGAAUCUCCAAAGUCACCCGCAAGCCUUCUCAGCCCUCCAACAAAGCAGUGAGAAUCUCCAAAGUCACCCGCAAGCCUUCUCAGCCCUCCAACAAAAUAGUGAGAAUCUCCAAAGUCACCCGCAAGCCUUCUCAGCCCUCCAACAAAGCAGUGAGAACCUCCAAAGUCACCCGCAAGCCUUCUCAGCCCUCCAACAAAAUAAUGAGAAUCUCCAAAGUCACCCGCAAGCCUUCUCAGCCCUCCAACAAAAUAGUGAGAAUCUCCAAAGUCACCCGCAAGCCUUCUCAGCCCUCCAACAAAGCAGUGAGAAGCUCCAAAGUCACCCGCAAGCCUUCUCAGCCCUCCAACAAAAUAGUGAGAAUCUCCAAAGUCACCCGCAAGCCUUCUCAGCCCUCCAACAAAGCAGUGAGAAUCUUCAAAGUCAUCCGCAAGCCUUCUCAGCCCUCCAACAAAACAGUGAGAAUCUCCAAAGUCACCCGCAAGCCUUCUCAGCCCUCCAACAAAGCAGUGAGAACCUCCAAAGUCACCCGCAAGCCUUCUCAGCCCUCCAACAAAGCAGUGAGAAUCUUCAAAGUCAUCCGCAAGCCUUCUCAGCCCUCCAACAAAGCAGUGAGAAUCUCCAAAGUCACCCGCAAGCCUUCUCAGCCCUCCAACAAAGCAGUGAGAACCUCCAAAGUCACCCGCAAGCCUUCUCAGCCCUCCAACAAAGCAGUGAGAAUCUUCAAAGUCAUCCGCAAGCCUUCUCAGCCCUCCAACAAAAUAGUGAGAAUCUCCAAAGUCACCCGCAAGCCUUCUCAGCCCUCCAACAAAGCAGUGAGAAUCUCCAAAGUCACCCGCAAGCCUUCUCAGCCCUCCAACAAAGCAGUGAGAAUCUCCAAAGUCACCCGCAAGCCUUCUCAGCCCUCCAACAAAGCAGUGAGAAUCUCAAAGUCAUCCACAAGCCUUCUCAGCCCUCCAACAAAGCAGUGA